GGGCCCGCACAAGCGGUGGAGCAUGUGGCUUAAUUCGAGGCAACGCGAAGAACCUUACCUGGUCUUGACAUGCCCGUCAUAGUUUUCCGAAAGGAAUUCGUCAGUUCGGCUGGACGGUGCACAGGUGCUGCAUGGCUGUCGUCAGCUCGUGUCGUGAGAUGUUCGGUUAAGUCCGGCAACGAGCGCAACCCUCGUUCCUAGUUGCCAGCGGGUAAUGCCGGGGACUCUAGGAAGACAAACCUCGUGUAGAGGUGGGAAGGUGGGGACGACGUCAAGUCAGUAUGGCCCUUACGACCAGGGCUGCACACGUGCUACAAUGCCCAGCACAAUGGGAUGCAACACCGCGAGGUUGAGCAAAUCCACAAAACUGGGCCCAGUUCGGAUUGGAGUCUGCAACUCGACUCCAUGAAGUUGGAAUC
rnacentral:rRNA from 1 species